rnacentral:rRNA from 1 species
UACGUAGGGGGCAAGCGUUGUCCGGAAUCAUUGGGCGUAAAGAGCGUGUAGGCGGCCUGGUAAGUCCGCUGUGAAAGUCCAGGGCUCAACCCUGGAAUGCCGGUGGAACUGUCAGGCUCGAGUCCGGAAGAGGCGAGUGGAAUCCUGGUGUAGCGGUGAAAUGCGCAGAUAUCGAGGAGAACACCAUAGGCGAAGGCAGCUGCGUGGACGUACUGCGCUGAGAA